rnacentral:lncRNA from 1 species
ACAUAUUCCAAGUAAGAAGUUUAUUUGAUCAAAUGACAAAAUAUGAAGAUAUUUUAAACUAUAAAGCUCUAUUCAGACAAAAUGUAAAUUUAUUAUAAAGUAAGAUAAUAUCCAUGUAAAUGGCACCUAAAAGCAGAAAGAAUGCAAUUCCUAUAAAUACUAUGUCUUUAUAAAGCAUUCACAAAAUUCUCAGGUACUUUAAAACUAGGUUGUAGGUAUAUUGGUAAACUCUCUAAAUAGUGCUUAAAGUGGGUUUCUUAAACUUCCCCUACAGUAUGUCAUGGGGGUCCUGUAAUGAUCAGAGUGUCAGUGAGAUGUGUCGUGAGUGUGGAACAAACUUGAGUUCCCCGCACAGU